rfam:Brachypodium distachyon strain Bd21 chromosome 2, whole genome shotgun sequence.
AUAUUACUCCCUCCGUCCAACAAAAGAUGUCUCAAGUUUGUUAAAAUCUGGAUGUAUCUACAUGUGACUUAGUGUAUAGAUGCAUUCAAAUUUAGUUCAAGUUGAGACAUCCUUUGUUGGACGGAGGGAGUAUUAU